AACCUCCGCAAUGUGAGAAAUCGCGACGGGGGGAUCCCAAGUGCCAUUCUUAACGGGAUGGCUUUUCAUUAGUGUAAAGAGCUUUUGGAAUAAGAGCUGGGCAAGACCGGUGCCAGCCGCCGCGGUAACACCGGCAGCUCUAGUGGUAGCAAUUUUUAUUGGGCCUAAAGCGUUCGUAGCCGGUUUGAUAAGUCUCUGGUGAAAUCCUGUAGCUUAACUGUGGGAAUUGCUGGAGAUACUAUUAGACUUGAGGUCGGGAGAGGUUAGCGGUACUCCCAGGGUAGGGGUGAAAUCCUGUAAUCCUGGGAGGACCACCUGUGGCGAAGGCGGCUAACUGGAACGAACCUGACGGUGAGGGACGAAAGCCAGGGGCGCGAACCGGAUUAGAUACCCGGGUAGUCCUGGCCGUAAACGAUGUGGACUUGGUGUUGGGGUGGCUCCGAGCUGUUUCAGUGCCGAAGGGAAGCUGUUAAGUCCACCGCCUGGGAAGUACGGUCGCAAGACUGAAACUUAAAGGAAUU
rnacentral:rRNA from 1 species